GACGAACGCUGGCGGCGUGCUUAACACAUGCAAGUCGAACGGAAAGGCCCUGCUUUUGUGGGGUGCUCGAGUGGCGAACGGGUGAGUAACACGUGAGUAACCUGCCCUUGACUUUGGGAUAACUUCAGGAAACUGGGGCUAAUACCGGAUAGGAGCUCCUGCUGCAUGGUGGGGGUUGGAAAGUUUCGGCGGUUGGGGAUGGACUCGCGGCUUAUCAGCUUGUUGGUGGGGUAGUGGCUUACCAAGGCUUUGACGGGUAGCCGGCCUGAGAGGGUGACCGGCCACAUUGGGACUGAGAUACGGCCCAGAAUCCUACGGGAGGCAGCAGUGGGGAAUAUUGCACAAUGGGCGGAAGCCUGAUGCAGCAACGCCGCGUGCGGGAUGACGGCCUUCGGGUUGUAAACCGAUUUCGCAUGUGACGAAGCGUGAGUGACGGUAAUGGGUAAAGAAGCACCGGCUAACUACGUG
rnacentral:rRNA from 1 species